GACGAACGCUGGCGGCGUGCUUAACACAUGCAAGUCGAACGGACAGGCCCUGCUUUUGUUUGUUUCUCGAUUGGCGAACGGGUGAGUAACACGUGUGUAACCUGCCCUUGACUUUGUGAUAACUUCAGGAAACUGGGUCUCUUACCGGAUAUGAUCUCCUGCUGCAUGUUGGUCGUUGGAAAGUUUCGGCGGUUGUGGAUGGACUCGCGGCUUAUCAGCUUGUUUGUCGGGUUGUGACUUACCAAGGCUUUGACGGGUAGCCGGCCUGGGAGGGUUACCGGCCACAUUGGGACUGAGAUACGGAGCAGAAUCCUACGGGAGGCAGCAGUGGAGAAUAUGGCACAAUAGGCGGAAGUCUGAGGCAGCAACGCCGGGAGCGGGAUGACGGCCUUCGGGGUGUAAACAGAUUUGGAAGGAGACGAAGAGUGAGUGACGGUAAUGGGUAAAGAAGCAACGGCUAACUACGUG
rnacentral:rRNA from 1 species